rnacentral:rRNA from 1 species
GAUCCUGGCUCAGGAUGAACGCUGGCGGCGUGCCUAAUACAUGCAAGUAGAACGCUGAAGCUUGGUGCUUGCACCGAGCGGAUGAGUUGCGAACGGGUGAGUAACGCGUAGGUAACCUGCCUCUUAGCGGGGGGAUAACUAUUGGAAACGAUAGCUAAUACCGCAUAAAAGUCGACAUUGCAUGAUGUUGACUUGAAAGGUGCAAUUGCAUCACUAAGAGAUGG